rnacentral:lncRNA from 7 species
GAGCGGUGUAAAUGGUGGGCGAGUGAGCGAAGGGGAGAUGAUUCACACCGCCUCCGAGCCCCUCCGGCCCCUGCCUGCCCUAACGCUGCGGCGCGGCCGCCCGCUGCUCCCAGGCCCUCAUGCUCUUCUCGACUGACGGGCUGGGCAUGGGGCUGAAGCGGGGGGGCUCCGUGUCCGCCCAGCACCACCGCCAGACGCUCCAGCAGCUAGCGGGCUCGGCUGAGCAGGGUCCGGCCGCGAGCAGGGGCCCACCGACCUCGGCUACACCGCAGAAACCCCCGAGGCAGGAGAGAAAAACCACAACACGUGAAUACUGUCAAACUAAUACUGUCAAUUAAGCAUCUUCACUCUCAACAUCAAAUUAUAUACUUCCACAGGUUGCAUCAUAGAAUCAUGGAAACAGAAUCAUGGAAUGUCUUGGAUUGGAGAGGACUUUAAAUAUCAUCUAGUUCCAUCCCCCCUGCCCUGAGCAGAGCUGCCAACCACUGGAUCAGACUGCCUAUGGCCUCAUCCAUGCCUGGGUGAGCUGUAUCCAUGAUCGGAUGGAAAGUGAAAACCCCAGUGUCCUGCAAAGCAAGUUGGGAAGAAAUUUUGCAAACCAAAACUAAUAAGAUGAGUUUCAGUUCUUUCUCAUGGAAGUCACUGAUGUGAACUCAAGAACUGCUUCUGGACUUCAGACUUCAGUCUGGCAAAGGCUGCUGGGGAUGUGGCUGCCCAUGUGUGUGUCAAAUUCAAAUCAUUCUGUAUGGAUUCCAGGAUACCAAGGCUAUUAUCUGCAAGCCUAUUAUCUCCCAAAUGCAUAAAAACACUUUUAUGGCAUAUACAUCAUGGAUUAGAAAUUCCUUGGUAAUAUGUACCUCCAUGUUCAUUCUUGUACUGCUUCAGGAAUCUUACUUGAAAAACAGCACAAAUUAUUGCUAUCCUGCUGCAUCCCAUAUUGCUGAUAAAUUCAAGUAAU